rnacentral:rRNA from 1 species
GACGAACGCUGGCGGCGUGCUUAACACAUGCAAGUCGAACGGAAAGGCCCUGCUUUCGGUGUACUCGAGUUGCGAACGGGUGAGUAACUCGUGCGUGAUCUGCCCUGCACUUCGGGUUAGGCUUGGUAGACUGAGUCUAAUUCCUACUAGGUACUAUCUUUAGCGGCGUGGUUGGAAAGUGUUUUCGGUUUUGGAUGUGCUCGCGGAGUAUAAGCUUGCUGGUGGGGUAAUGGCCUACCAAGGCGGCGACGGGUAGCAGGCCUGAGAGGGUGGACGGACAGACUGGGACUGAGAGACGGGCAAGAGUAGUACGGGAGGCAGAAGGGGGGAAUAUUGGACAGUGGGAGGAAGCGUGAUGGAGGGAGGCCGCGUGGGGGAUGAAGGCCUUUGGGAUGUAAGAUCAUUUCGCUAGGGAAGAAGCUUUGUUGUGACGGUACCUAGACAAGAAGCAACGGCUAACUACGUG